GUUUGUUUCUCUACUUUCGUCUUUAUAUCUUCUGUUUGUUUACAGAGAAAACAGAGGAAAAUGAGAGAGGAAACUGUAAUUUUACUAUUAUAAGUUGCAAUUCUUUCGGUUUUUGACCGAAUAACAGAUUUCCCUCAGUUACAGCUUUUAUAUUUCUUUCAUUUCUCUGGUCGUUUCUCAGUUGCCAAACAGAGAAAGUUACUAGCUUUUGCGUCCCUCUAGUAAUAAAGUUAAAA
rnacentral:misc_RNA from 1 species